GAUCCUGGCUCAGGACGAACGCUGGCGGUAUGCCUAACACAUGCAAGUCGUACGAGAUUUACAUUUUUUUCGGAAAGGUAGAUUGCAGUGGCGGACGGGUGAGUAACGCGUAAGAACUUACCUUUUGGUGGGGGAUAACAGUGGGAAACUGCUGCUAAAACCCCAUAAUGCUGAGGAGCUAAAAGUGAAAACUGCCAAGAGAGAGGCUUGCGUCUGAUUAGCUAGUUGGAGGGGGUAAUGGCUUCCCAAGGCGACGAU
rnacentral:rRNA from 1 species